UGGUGCAUGGUUGUCGUCAGCUCGUGUCGUGAGAUGUUGGGUUAAGUCCCGCAACGAGCGCAACCCUCGACCUUAGUUGCCAGCAUUCAGUUGGGCACUCUAAGGUGACUGCCGGCUAAAAAGUCGGAGGAAGGUGGGGAUGACGUCAAAUCAUCAUGCCCCUUAUGACCUGGGCUACACACGUGCUACAAUGGGCGGUACAAAGGGUCGCGAACCCGCGAGGGGGAGCCAAUCCCAAAAAGCCGCUCUCAGUUCGGAUUGCAGGCUGCAACUCGCCUGCAUGAAGCCGGAAUCGCUAGUAAUCGCGGAUCAGCAUGCCGCGGUGAAUACGUUCCCGGGCCUU
rnacentral:rRNA from 1 species